rnacentral:rRNA from 1 species
AACGGCCGUACCAUGCUGAAUAUACCGGUUCUCGUUAGAUCACCGAAGUUAAGCAUCAUUGGGCGCGGUCAGUACUUGGAUGGGUGACCAGCUGGGAACACCGCGUGCCGUU